rnacentral:rRNA from 1 species
AUGGAGGACGGCAGGAGUACUCAGAGGGAGGAGGGGAAGGAGACAGCGGAGGAACUUCUGGCCCGCCUCACCCUACAGGAGGAGGAAGAGGAUGAUUUUGUUUGGGAAGAGGAGCUACCAGACCUAAUGGAGCUGGCGAAGUGGCUAGCGAUCGCCAGGGUCCACACACCAAAAACCUUUAGCCCUAACGCUCUGUACGGUGACAUGAGGGCGGCCUGGAACCUGGCAAAGACGGUAGUCUAGAGGAAGAUCAUGGAGAACUUGUUUUCGACGCAAUUUGGUUGUCUUGCAGAUUGGAAAAAAGCUAUGUAUGAAGGCCCAUGGCUGUUUAGGGAUCAGGCUGUGAUCCUGGAGGAAUAUGACGGUUUCAAAAACCCUGAUUCGUUCAAGCUGGAUAAGAUUGAGGUGUGGGCUCAGAUCCAUCGCCUGCCUGAUAACUAUCUGAUUGAGUCGGCGGUGAAGGGGCUGGCGUCAAGGAUCGGUGAGGUGGUGGAGGUGCAGUUAAAGCUUCCGGCUGGUUUUUCGGCGAAUAUGUGA